AGCGUGAAGCCCCCCUCAAGAUGAGAUAUCCCAUUCUUAGUGAAGUAAACCCCCUUGAAGACGACGAGGUAGAUAGGGCAGAGGUGGAAGUGUGGCAACACAUGGAGCUGACUGUUACUAAUCGGGUGAGGGCUUGACCAA
rnacentral:rRNA from 1 species